UGUGUGUGUGUGUGUGUGUGUAUUGCAAUUCAGGACAAAGAUUCAAAAAGAGGUGUAAAAAUAAAUCCUCUUUUGAAGCCCAGAACUCUGUAUUCAGCAUGAGUCUUAACAUACAUGAGAAGGAAUAUA